CUCCCUUUUAUCCACGUCCAUCUUUUUCCUCUUCCCCUCGCGGCGGCGUCGUGGGUGGAACCCGCUCCAGGCAUUCUUCCACCGAAGAAUCCGGACGUAGUUUUCCGCGGCUAGAUUUGGCGUCGGGAGAGGAAAUUCGAUCUGAAAAUGGGGUUGUUCCGGGCCGCGUCGGGCUUAGCCCGGGUGGCGCUGCGGAGGAGCCUGUCGCGCGCUCCGGCGAGCCCGUUCGCCGGCCCCGCGCCGCGGUACUUCCACUCGACGCUCCCCCGGCGGUACGCGGCGCCUGAGCCCCGCGCCGUGCCGCUCUCGCGCCUCACCGACAGCUUCCUCGAUGGCACCAGCAGCGUGUACCUCGAGGAGCUGCAGCGGGCGUGGGAGGCGGACCCGACCUCCGUCGACGAGUCCUGGGACAACUUCUUCCGGAACUUCGUCGGGCAGGCCGCCACGUCCCCCGGCAUAUCCGGCCAGACGAUCCAGGAGAGUAUGAGGCUGCUGCUGCUCGUGCGCGCCUACCAGGUGAGCGGCCACAUGAAGGCCAAGCUCGAUCCUCUUGGACUGGAGCAGCGCGCGGUUCCGGAUGUCCUGGACCCGGCGUUCUACGGCUUCUCUGAGUCUGAUUUGGAUCGGGAGUUCUUCCUCGGGGUGUGGAGGAUGGCUGGGUUCUUGUCGGAGAAUCGGCCUGUGCAGACACUUCGUUCUGUGUUGGGACGUCUGGAGCAGGCCUACUGUGGCACCAUUGGUUACGAGUACAUGCACAUACCGGACCGGGAAAAGUGCAACUGGCUGAGGGAGAGGAUCGAGACAGUUAACCCAAGGGAGUACACCUAUGAUCGUCGCCAGGUCAUGCUCGAUAGGCUCAUCUGGAGUACCCAGUUUGAGAAUUUCUUGGCACAGAAGUGGACCACUGCAAAGCGAUUUGGCCUAGAAGGUGCCGAGACACUGAUUCCUGGUAUGAAGGAGAUGUUUGACAGGGCAGCUGAUCUUGGUGUAGAGAGUAUUGUCAUUGGGAUGCCACACAGAGGCAGGCUCAAUGUCUUGGGAAACGUCGUACGUAAGCCCUUGCGACAGAUCUUCAGCGAGUUUAGUGGUGGUACCAAGCCUGUCAAUGAGGGGGAGGGUUUGUAUACAGGGACAGGUGAUGUCAAGUACCAUCUAGGAACUUCAUAUGAUAGGCCUACCAGGGGUGGGAAACAUAUCCAUCUAUCGUUGGUUGCAAAUCCAAGUCAUUUGGAAGCAGUCGAUCCUGUUGUUGCUGGGAAGACCAGAGCAAAGCAGUAUUAUUCUAAUGAUCUUGACAGGACCAAGAAUCUAGGGGUGCUAUUGCAUGGUGAUGGAAGCUUCUCAGGGCAGGGUGUUGUGUAUGAGACCCUGCAUCUGAGUGCACUUCCAAACUACACCACUGGCGGAACAAUUCAUCUUGUGGUCAAUAAUCAGGUUGCAUUCACUACUGAUCCGAUGUCAGGGAGAUCUUCACAGUAUUGUACAGACGUAGCCAAAGCAUUGGAUGCCCCAAUUUUCCAUGUGAACGGUGACGACUUGGAGGCUGUGGUUCAUACUUGUGAACUUGCUGCGGAGUGGAGGCAAACAUUUCAUUCUGAUGUAGUGGUGGAUAUUGUAUGCUACCGUCGAUUUGGGCAUAAUGAGAUUGACGAGCCCUCCUUCACCCAGCCUAAAAUGUACAAGGUGAUUAGGAACCACCCAAGUGCGCUUGAGAUAUAUCAAAACCAGCUGUUAGAAUCGGGGAAGAUCUCCAAGGAAGAUAUUGACAAGAUACACAAGAAGGUCAGCACCAUACUGAAUGAGGAAUUCAAAAAGAGCAAAGACGAUAUCCCCAACAAGAGGGACUGGCUUUCUGCUUACUGGACUGGGUUUAAGUCCCCAGAACAGAUUUCACGUAUCCGAAACACCGGUGUCAAGCCAGAGAUUCUAAAACGUGUUGGUGAAGCCAUGACAACACUGCCAGAAACUUUCAAACCUCACAGGGCUGUCAAGAAGAUUUUUGAUCUGCGUCGCCAAAUGAUUGAGACUGGGGAAGGCAUUGACUGGGCAGUGGGUGAAGCACUUGCUUUUGCAACUCUUAUAAUUGAGGGGAACCAUGUCAGGUUAAGUGGCCAGGAUGUUGAGAGAGGUACAUUCAGCCACCGCCAUUCUGUCAUCCAUGACCAAGAAACUGGGGAGCAGUAUUGCCCACUUGAUAAUCUUGUCAUGAACCAGAAUGAGGAACUAUUUACUGUAAGCAACAGUUCCCUGUCAGAAUUUGCUGUUCUGGGCUUUGAGUUGGGUUAUUCAAUGGAGAACCCAAACUCACUGGUUUUAUGGGAAGCACAGUUUGGUGAUUUUUCAAAUGGGGCUCAAGUGAUAUUUGAUCAGUUCAUUAGUAGCGGAGAGGCAAAAUGGCUCCGCCAGACUGGGCUUGUUGUCUGCCUUCCUCAUGGAUAUGACGGUCAAGGGCCUGAACAUUCUAGUGCGAGAAUGGAGCGCUUCCUUCAGAUGAGUGAUGAUAACCCCUAUGUUAUACCUGAGAUGGAUCCAACACUGAGGAAGCAAAUCCAGGAGUGCAACUGGCAGGUCGUGAAUGUCACCACUCCUGCGAACUAUUUCCAUGUGCUGCGUCGCCAGAUACACCGGGAUUUCAGAAAGCCUUUAAUUGUGAUGUCUCCAAAGAAUCUCCUUCGUCACAAGGACUGCAAAUCCAGUCUAUCUGAAUUCGAUGAUCUUGCUGGUCACCCUGGAUUUGAUAAGCAAGGGACACGCUUCAAGCGUCUAAUAAAAGACCGGAAUGACCAUAAGGACCUUGAGGAAGGAAUCAGACGUCUAGUUCUUUGUUCUGGAAAGGUGUACUAUGAAUUGGAUGAAGAAAGAAAGAAGUCGGAUUCCAAUGAUGUCGCGAUAUGUAGAGUUGAGCAGCUCUGUCCAUUCCCCUACGACCUCAUUCAGCGUGAGCUGAAGAGAUAUCCAAAUGCCGAGAUUGUUUGGUGCCAAGAAGAACCGAUGAACAUGGGGGCGUAUACCUACAUCAAUCCUCGCCUGCUGACCGCGAUGAGGGCGCUCGGUCGUGGCAGCAUAGAUGAUAUCAAGUACGUCGGAAGGGCCCCAUCUGCAGCCACAGCUACAGGUUUCUAUACUGUCCAUGUCCAGGAGCAAACCGAGCUCGUGAAGAAGGCGCUGCAGCGAGACCCCAUCAAGUCUCCGCUCUGAACAUGUAGAUUCUUUGCAUAGCCAUCAGAACUUCUGAUCUCCUACCAUGCAGAAAAACAACAGGUCUAAAUUACACCUCUUCAGCCAUUUGGUGAAUAAUCGUUGCGCAUGUGUGGUACCGCCCAUUAGAAAAGGUCUGAGGUCCAUUUUGAGUGCAUAAUUUUUUCCCGUCAAAGCUUUUUUGUCUACAUCCUUCUGUUUCUCUGGGUGCUAAGGUUAAACAAACUGUAUCCAGUUCUCCCUUUGCCAAUAAUGAAGUGUACCCAGUACUGAUGCAUGUAUGUCCUACGAGACGGUCCGUCCCUACUGCUGUGCCUAGCAUAUGAUUCCAGUCUGGCUCUCUGAAAUACUUGGAAAGAAACUGUACACAGGGACAGUUCAGUGAAGCAGCAC
rnacentral:rRNA from 1 species